rnacentral:rRNA from 1 species
GAUGAACGCUGGCGGCGUGCCUAAUACAUGCAAGUCGAGCGAACGGACGAGAAGCUUGCUUCUCUGAUGUUAGCGGCGGACGGGUGAGUAACACGUGGAUAACUUACCUAUAAGACUGGGAUAACUUCGGGAAACCGGAGCUAAUACCGGAAAAUAUUUUGAACCGCAGGGUUAAAAAGUGAAAGACGGUCUUGCUGUCACUUAUAGAUGGAUCCGCGCUGCAUUAGCUAGUUGGUAAGGUAACGGCUUACCAAGGCAACGAUGCAUAGCCGACCUGAGAGGGUGAUCGGCCACACUGGAACUGAGACACGGUCCAGACUCCUACGGGAGGCAGCAGUAGGGAAUCUUCCGCAAUGGGCGAAAGCCUGACGGAGCAACGCCGCGUGAGUGAUGAAGGUCUUCGGAUCGUAAAACUCUGUUAUUAGGGAAGAACAUAUGUGUAAGUAACUGUGCACAUCUUGACGGUACCUAAUCAGAAAGCCACGGCUAACUACGUG